rnacentral:rRNA from 1 species
AACGAACGCUGGCGGCAUGCCUAACACAUGCAAGUCGAACGAGACCUUCGGGUCUAGUGGCGCACGGGUGCGUAACGCGUGGGAACCUGCCCUUAGGUUCGGAAUAACUCCCCGAAAGGGGUGCUAAUACCGGAUAAUGUCUUCGGACCAAAGAUUUAUCGCCUUUGGAUGGGCCCGCGUUGGAUUAGCUAGUUGGUAGGGUAAAAGCCUACCAAGGCGACGAUCCAUAGCUGGUCUGAGAGGAUGAUCAGCCACACUGGGACUGAGACACGGCCCAGACUCCUACGGGAGGCAGCAGUGGGGAAUAUUGGACCAUGGGCGAAAGCCUGAUCCAGCCAUGCCGCGUGAGUGAUGAAGGCGUUAGGGUUGUAAAGCUCUUUUACCCGGGAUGAUAAUGACAGUACCGGGAGAAUAAGCGCCGGCUAACUCCGUG